rnacentral:ncRNA from 1 species
CAGAAAAGUUUAUUUGUGGUAGACUUUAAUAGGGGCAGUCAAAACCUGCCAACCCCUAGUAUCGGCCUUGCCGAUGCAACACCGCCAAAUUGCUGGAAAGUCCUGUUAUGCUGUUGGUACCGCUUGCAUGAGGAAACUUGUGCUUGCACCGUAGGGAAACCUGCGGGUAUGGUAACAAUCCAACAGAUAGGGGUAACCAGCAGCCAAGCCCUGACUGCAAUUUUGCAAAGGGUGCAGUUCACAGACUAAAUGCCGGUGGGUCUUUCGUUUGAGAGGCUUAAGAUAUAGUCGGACCCUACCGUGAGGUAGCC